rnacentral:rRNA from 1 species
UACGGAGGGUGCGAGCGUUGUCCGGAAUCACUGGGCGUAAAGGGCGCGUAGGCGGUUUGAUAAGUGUGUGGUGAAAGUCCGGGGCUCAACCCCGGAUCUGCCGUGCCGACUGUCAAACUCGAGGACUGUAGAGGCAGACGGAAUUCCGGGUGUAGCGGUGGAAUGCGUAGAGAUCCGGAGGAAGACCGGUGGCGAAGGCGGUCUGCUGGGCAGUUUUGCUGACACUGAGGCGCGACAGCGUGGGGAGCAAACAGG